GGUGCAGCAACGUGAAUACUUCUAAGAUCAUCGAGCAUCCGUACUUCUGCCACAUUGGAGUCCAAUGCAACAGUGAUGGAACUAUAGGUGUCCCACAAGGUUGCCCGGACAACCAAUGUUUUAAUAUAAACAGCUCAGGAUGCUCGAACUGUACAUGCGCAAAACAGGGACCAACCACUACAACCACGACUACACCAUCUCCUUAUGACGAACGUAU